AGAGGCCACCAACACCCACACAUGCUCCGAAGCCAGUUUUUCCACAAGGAAUGCUCAUUGCAUUCAUCACUAGAAGAAAACUAGAAGGUAACAGAUAAACAAAGAAGAUAAAAAACCAAAACUCCCACCUCCUGGACAUAAUCACUGCUAACACUUGGCAUAAACAAAGACAGACGUUUCUUAAAGUCGGUCUCCCAGAGGCACUUGCACUGUACCAUAGUCUCUUAAGUCAGUGAUCCAGGACUGAGGUGGGCAGCUGGGUCAAGCCCUCUUAGGAAAUGCUGCUGAAAAUCCACCCUGAGAGGGUUUCAUUUGCAGGUGAAAACGUCUAUGUCCCUCUCUUUUUUUCAUCAGCUAUUUUCCAUUAAGUGCAAGGAAUUAUGCAAAGCUCUUUCCAGACAGUGUGCCUCAUUUCAUCCUUCCAACAAUGCUACGAGGGGAAGUCUAAUAUUUCCUCGAUGGUACUGCAGACCUGUAGUACAAGGUUUGAAAUAUAAAAAGUUGAGGAAAGAUACGAUUCACUCAGACUGCAGGAACUGGCUCAAGACAAGCUCUGGCACCCUGUGCAAUGCUGACGUCCUAAAUUUAGCCCUGAGGCUCUUCCUGCAUCAGGCCUGUGCCCCAGUGCACGGUCACCGCGGAGCAGCAGUCCUCUCAGCAAAGGCCCUACUGUGUGCCUUUGUGGGGGUGAAUUAAAACGCAUGAGGAGAAGGGCCUAUUACAGGAUGGAAAAUAUAGCUUAGGAACAUUUCCACUGUGGUACACGUGGGCAUUCUUGCAGAUGCUAUAUAGAUAGAGCAAUAAACAUUUAUUGAGCACCUGCGGUGUGCACUGCACCUUGCUAUAUGCCCAAGGGUUAUUCUUUUAUUUUUUUCUGCUUCCCUUUUAGAAGAGAUUUCCUACCAACUGACUAAAGCCCCUUAGAGCCAUCUCGCGCACACACAAAGCCCUCAGGAUUAACGUGGCUGAUUCUAGCUGCACUGGUGACUGACUGCCGUAAUCUUCUGAGAGGCUCGUGGGAGCUCUCUCAUGAGCCCCUGCUGUUGGCAGAGGUGAAAAUGUUUUUCCUCUUAGGAUUCUCCGCUUCUCUUGGAUUUCUCAUAGAGACGGGAAAACCCGGGGUUUACAGGGUAAACCCUCUCCUCUUUACCCAGGGCAUCUUCUCAGCCUCAGCCCUGCUCUCUGUCACCUGAGCUGUCCCCACAAACACACACAAUAAGCACACGGGGUCACAGCACACGGGCCAUUUCACCGCCGCAUGGCCGACAGCAGGGCUUGGGAGGAGGGCGCGAGGUCUGCUGGAGGAUCUGCUAUUUUCUCUGCCUGGCUCACAUCAACGGUUUACAGCUGGGGUAUGUUUCUGAGCUCCUGGCAGCAUUUCCUCUACAUCUGGGGUCAAAUGUUAACAGAGACUCCAUGAAAACAAACGAUAACCCUGGGUUUAGCCUGCCAUGCUUCAUUUCAGAGAACCCAGGGUCCUCCUCACUCAGGCCAGCACUGGGCCCCAUUAGGGGUAGAUUUACCCAUUUCUGAAUGUCGGUCCCACCUGAAGGAGGUGGGCUGAAGCUUAUGAUGGGAGGACAAAGGCUUGGGGGGGCCACACUCAUCAGAGGUGAGAGGCAGACAGAACUUCACAGCUCUUCUCUCCUGCCCAUCCCACCUCCACUGUGGCUUUCGUCACCAUACCUGGACAUGCCUCUGUUUCAGCAGCGUUUCGUAGCGGUUGGACGGCGGGUACGGAAUGAUGACUCCGUAAUUCUUACAUUCGGCCCUAAAACGUUUGUCCAGCAGGACGCUGCAAGGGGUGAGAGUGAGACAAGGCCAGUGAACAUGACCACCACUCACAUCUACUUCAGAUCAGAGCAUCAACUCACGAAGCGCCCCCUUCUAUAGUUUAAAUGUUAUUUUUUUCUGCUCUAGAGCAAAGGUCUUCAAAUGUUUUUCAGCCAAAAAAGCUCAGUAGGUGAAGUAGAAUUUUUAAGUUUAAGACAGGCUACACAAAAGUUGAGCUUCUUUUUCCCCCUUUUAUUCAUUUACCAGAAAAGCAACCAAGAGCAUUCCUGGUACAUCCCAGGAAACACUCUAGGCACCAGGGUUUGUACCCUCAUGGAGCUUACACUCUGGUGAAGACAGACUGAUGAUAAAUAAAGCAGAGGAAUGAAAUAAUUUCAGACAAUAGUCAAUAUCUGCAUAGUGUCUACCCUUCAUGAGGCGUGCGCGCACAAACACACACACACACACGUGUACACAGUCACUUUUUAAUCUGAAAACAACCCUAUGGACUAGAUGUGCUAUUACCAUCUUCCAUCUGAGUCACGGAUUGCAGAGUCAUGAGUGCUCUGAAAAUAAUCCAACAGGAUCAUUUGGUACGAGGAGGUCAGGGAAAGCCUCUCUAAAGAGGUUUUGUUGGACAGACACCUAAAUGUUAACACAGGGACGAUUCGGGUGAAGAAUCUUUCAGGCACAAUUAGCCCGGUCCAUGGAGAAAAGGAAAGCUGGCCAGUGUAGGUCAAGGGCAGGGCAUGCCGGAGAGCAUGGUGCAAAAACGACUUUAUGAAGUCAGUCUAGGGGCCAGAUCACUUGGGACUGUGGAAGCGACAGUAAAGAGGUAAGGUGUUUGCUAGAUGUAACUGAAGCCACCGCAAGGUUUAAAGCAGGAAGGUGGCAUCUCCUACAUCUACACUGUCCAAUACAGCAGCCACCCACCACCUGAGCCCACUGGGCACUGGGAAUGUGGCGGACCCGGGCUGAGAUGUGCUUUUAGUAUAAAAUGCACACUAGCUUUUAAAGACUUAGGAAAAAAGACAAUGGAAACCAUCUGUUUAAGAACUGUUCACAUGUGAUUACAUGCUGAAAUUCGGUUUUAGAUGUAACUGGAUUAUAUAAAAUAUAUUAUUAAAAUUAACUUCACCUGUU